GACGAACGCUGGCGGCGUGCUUAACACAUGCAAGUCGAACGGAAAGGCCCUGCGUUUGUGGGGUGCUCGAGUGGCGAGCGGGUGAGUAACACGUGAGUAACCUGCCCUUGUCUUUGGGAUAACUUCAGGAAACUGGGGCUAAUACCGGAUAGGAGCUCCUGCUGCAUGGUGGGGGUUGGAGAGUUUCGGCGGUUGGGGAUGGACUCGCGGCUUAUCCGCUUGUUGGUCGGGUAGUGGCUUACCAAGGCUUUGACGGGUAGCCGGCCUGAGAGGGUGACCGGCCUCCAUGGGCCUGAGAGACGGCGCAGAAGCCUACGGGAGGCAGCAGUGGGGAAUAUUGCACAAUGGGCGGAAGCCUGAUGCAGCAACGCCGCGUGCGGGAUGACGUCCUUCGGGUUGUAAACCGCUUUCGCCUGUGACGAAGCGUGAGUGACGGUAAUUGGUAAAGAAGCACCGGCUAACUACGUG
rnacentral:rRNA from 1 species